AUACAGAGGGUGCAAGCGUUAAUCGGAAUUGCUGGGCGUAAAGCGCGCGUAGGCGGUUUAAUCAGUCGGAUGUGAAAGCCCCGGGCUCAACCUGGGAACUGCAUUCGAUACUGUUAAGCUAGAGUAUGGUAGAGGGAAGUGGAAUUCCAGGUGUAGCGGUGAAAUGCGUAGAUAUCUGGAGGAACAUCAGUGGCGAAGGCGACUUCCUGGACCAAUACUGACGCUGAGGUGCGAAAGCGUGGGGAGCAAACAGGAUUAGAAACCCUAGUAGUCC
rnacentral:rRNA from 1 species